GGAAAUACAAUUAUAUCAGGGGAAACAACUUCUACACCACAUCAACUACGUGGCCAAAAAAGCUAAUUAAGGUGCUUAAUUACCGAUCACUGAGUCGCUGUUUAUUUGUGAAUUCGACUAUCACAUCAUGUUGACAUAAAAGGAAUUACUUCGUUCAGAUGUGCCUUUGAUAUUUUUAUCAACUUUCAUCAACUAAAGGAAGACGAUAUAUUUAUAAGUAGCCUUCAUCUAUACAUCAACGUUUCUAUAUAAA